GAUGAACGCUGGCGGCGUGCUUAACACAUGCAAGUCGAACGGAAAGGCUCCUGCUUGCAGGGGUACUCGAGUGGCGAACGGGUGAGUAACACGUGGGUGAUCUGCCCUGCACUUCGGGAUAAGCCUGGGAAACUGGGUCUAAUACCGGAUAGGACGAUGGUUUGGAUGCCAUUGUGGAAAGUUUUUUCGGUGUGGGAUGAGCUCGCGGCCUAUCAGCUUGUUGGUGGGGUAAUGGCCUACCAAGGCGUCGACGGAUAGCCGGCCUGAGAGGGUGUACGGCCACAUUGGGACUGAGAUACGGCCCAGACUCCUACGGGAGGCAGCAGUGGGGAAUAUUGCACAAUGGGCGCAAGCCUGAUGCAGCGACGCCGCGUGGGGGAUGACGGCCUUCGGGUUGUAAACUCCUUUCGCUAGGGACGAAGCGCAAGUGACGGUACCUGGAGAAGAAGCACCGGCUAACUACGUG
rnacentral:rRNA from 1 species